UACGUAGGGACCGAGCGUUGUCCGGAUUCAUUGGGCGUAAAGAGCUCGUAGGCGGCUAUUCAAGUCGAACGUGAAAUCUCGGAGCUCAACUCCGAACUGCGUUCGAUACUGGGUAGCUAGAGUCUGGUAGGGGGAUCUGGAAUUCCUGGUGUAGCGGUGAAAUGCGCAGAUAUCAGGAAGAACACCCGUGGCGAAGGCGGCUCUCUGGGACGUGACUGACGCUGAGAGCGAAAGCGUGGGGAGCGAACAGG
rnacentral:rRNA from 1 species